UGGGCAUAAACAGUGAUGGUGAUCAAGCGUGAGCUCCAGAAGUCUCAAGAGCACUGCAAGCAGGACAUGUUUUGGCAGGGAGUAAAGCAUCAAGGAUAAGCACCAAGAGGGGGGAUGGGGGGUUUUUGAAUGUCAUUCAUUUCCCACGCCCCAAACAAUGAAGAAAAACUCUAGAGGAUGGGGCUCAUGGGUUUCACCCCUCACUCCAAAACUUGUGAAUGGUCCCACCAUUAGCCUCUCUGGUCCCUCUCCCACUGUC
rnacentral:lncRNA from 1 species